rnacentral:rRNA from 1 species
CUAACACAUGCAAGUCGAGCGAGUGAAUCUCCUUCGGGAGUGAAGCUAGCGGCGGACGGGUGAGUAACACGUGGGCAACCUGCCUCAUAGAGGGGAAUAGCCUUCCGAAAGGAAGAUUAAUACCGCAUAAGAUUGUAGCUUCGCAUGAAGUAGCAAUUAAAGGAGCAAUCCGCUAUGAGAUGGGCCCGCGGCGCAUUAGCUAGUUGGUGAGGUAACGGCUCACCAAGGCGACGAUGCGUAGCCGACCUGAGAGGGUGAUCGGCCACAUUGGGACUGAGACACGGCCCAGACUCCUACGGGAGGCAGCAGUGGGGAAUAUUGCACAAUGGGGGAAACCCUGAUGCAGCAACGCCGCGUGAGUGAUGACGGCCUUCGGGUUGUAAAGCUCUGUCUUCAGGGACGAUAAUGACGGUACCUGAGGAGGAAGCCACGGCUAACUACGUGCCAGCAGCCGCGGUAAUACGUAGGUGGCGAGCGUUGUCCGGAUUUACUGGGCGUAAAGGGAGCGUAGGCGGACUUUUAAGUGAGAUGUGAAAUACCCGGGCUCAACUUGGGUGCUGCAUUUCAAACUGGAAGUCUAGAGCGCAGGAGAGGAGAAUGGAAUUCCUAGUGUAGCGGUGAAAUGCGUAGAGAUUAGGAAGAACACCAGUGGCGAAGGCGAUUCUCUGGACUGUAACUGACGCUGAGGCUCGAAAGCGUGGGGAGCA